UACGUAGGGGGCUAGCGUUGUCCGGAUUUAUUGGGCGUAAAGAGCGUGUAGGCGGCCAGGUAGGUCUGGUGUGAAAACUCGAGGCUUAACCUCGAGAUGUCAUCGGAAACCAUCUGGCUAGAGUCCGGAAGAGGAGAGUGGAAUUCCUGGUGGUAGCGGUGAAAUGCGCAGAUAUCAGGAAGAACACCAAUGGCGAAGGCAGCUCUCUGGGACGGUACUGACGCUGAGACGCGAAAGCGUGGGGAGCAAACAGG
rnacentral:rRNA from 1 species